CGCGGCGUGGAGAAAGAGGGUAGCUCGUCGGGCUCAUAACCCGAAGGUCGCAGGUUCAAAUCCUGCCCCCGCAACCA
rnacentral:tRNA from 1 species